UCCUAAUGAGAUAGAUUUUAUCCGACGGAUUAGAAUCCGGAGAGUAUGAAUUUUAGAAAAAAAAUAUUUAAAAUAAAUUAUAUUGAAUUUGGAUAAGAAUAUGUCCCGUUCCGAAUUCGAUCCGAUAUAAUUUUAAUAUAUAUAUAUUUUUUAAAAUUAUAAUAAUUUUAUAUUAUUUAUAUAUGUUUGAUCCGAUCCAACUCAACCCCUCUUAUCCAUCC
rnacentral:lncRNA from 1 species